rnacentral:tRNA from 1 species
GCGCCCGUGGCUCAGUGGUAGAGCAUCCGCCUUAUAAGCGGGGGGUCGGUGGUUCGAUCCCACCCGGGCGCA